rnacentral:siRNA from 1 species
GACCAGAAUUCCACCAGCAACCUC